rnacentral:rRNA from 1 species
UGCCAGACUCCUACGGGAGGCAGCAGUGGGGGAUAUUGCACAAUGGGGGAAACCCUGAUGCAGCGACGCCGCGUGGGUGAAGGAGCGUUUCGGCGCGUAAAGCCCUAUCGGCAGGGAAGAAGGAGGACGGUACCUGACUAAGAAGCCCCGGCUAACUACGUGCCAGCAGCCGCGGUAAUACGUAGGGGGCAAGCGUUAUCCGGAUUCACUGGGUGUAAAGGGAGCGUAGACGGCCAGGCAAGCCUGGAGUGAAAGCCCGGGGCCCAACCCCGGGACUGCUCUGGGAACUGUCCGGCUGGAGUGCGGGAGGGGCAGGCGGAAUUCCUAGUGUAGCGGUGAAAUGCGUAGAUAUUAGGAGGAACACCGGCGGCGAAGGCGGCCUGCUGGACCGUAACUGACGUUGAGGCUCGAAAGCGUGGGGAGCAAACAGGAUUAGAUACCCCAGUA